rnacentral:rRNA from 1 species
ACCAACAGGGAUUGCCCUAGUAACGGCGAGUGAAGCGGCAACAGCUCAAAUUUGAAAUCUGGCUCUUUUAGAGUCCGAGUUGUAAUUUGCAGAGGGCGCUUUGGCUUUGGCAGCGGUCCAAGUUCCUUGGAACAGGACGUCACAGAGGGUGAGAAUCCCGUACGUGGUCGCUAGCUAUUGCCGUGUAAAGCCCCUUCGACGAGUCGAGUUGUUUGGGAAUGCAGCUCUAAAUGGGAGGUAAAUUUCUUCUAAAGCUAAAUACUGGCCAGAGACCGAUAGCGCACAAGUAGAGUGAUCGAAAGAUGAAAAGCACUUUGGAAAGAGAGUCAAACAGCACGUGAAAUUGUUGAAAGGGAAGCGCUUGCAGCCAGACUUGCUUGCAGUUGCUCAUCCGGGCUCUUUUGCCCGGUGCAUUCUUCUGCAGGCAGGCCAGCAUCAGUUUGGGCGGUGGGAUAAAGGUCUCUGUCACGUACCUCUCUUCGGGGAGGCCUUAUAGGGGAGACGACAUACCACCAGCCUGGACUGAGGUCCGCGCAUUUAUGCUAGGAUGCUGGCGUAAUGGCUGUAAGCGGCCCGUCUUGAAACACGGACCAAGGAGUCUAACAUCUAUGCGAGUGUUUGGGUGUCAAGCCCGAACGCGUAAUGAAAGUGAACGGAGGUGGGAACCCGCAAGGGUGCACCAUCGACCGAUCCUGAUGUCUUCGGAAGGAUUUGAGUAAGAGCAUGGCUGUUGGGACCCGAAAGAUGGUGAACUAUGCUUGAAUAGGGUGAAGCCAGAGGAAACUCUGGUGGAGGCUCGCAGCGGUUCUGACGUGCAAAUCGAUCGUCAAAUUUGGGCAUAGGGGCGAAAGACUAAUCGAAC